GACGAACGCUGGCGGCGUGCCUAAUACAUGCAAGUAGGACGCAGUUGCGAACGGGUGAGUAACGCGUAGGUAACUACCUAUUAGAGGGGGAUAACUAUUGGAAACGAUAGCUAAUACCGCAUACUAGUAGAUGGACCUGCGUUGUAUUAGCUAGUAGGUGGGGUAAUGGCCUACCUAGGCAACGAUACAUAGCGGGCUUGAGAGGUGGUCCGCCAAACUGGGACGGGGCCAGGCCCAAGACCCGUCGGGGAGGAAGAAGUGGGAAAUUUGGGGCAUUGGGGGAACCCUGGACGAGCAACGCCGCGUGAGUGAAGGAGGUUUUCGGAUCGUAAAGCUCUGUUGAUAAGGAAGCGGUACUUACCCAGAAAGGGACGGCUAACUACGUGCCAGCAGCCGCGGUAAUUC
rnacentral:rRNA from 1 species